CUAGCACAUAAGCAGAGCGACAUCCCAACAAAUCGAAACAGAAGCACAGCUGGAAGCAAACUUUUAUUGUUCAAGAUCUAGAACUUGGAAUUACCCAAGAAAACUGGAAGAUGGAAAAAGAAAUAAGAGCCACUUCUCUUCACCCAGUUCAUCAAGGAGCAUCUGGAACUCCUCUCUACCAGAUGUAGCGAUGGCCACAAGUGCUACAGGAAUCUUACCUGAUGAAUUUUACUCAUAGUGACACCUUCUCAUGUCGUUAAAUACCUUUGAGGGGGAGGCACCAGGUCAUUCCGGGACCUGCUCUGUGUAGAUCCGCUGCUGAGCCAGGUGACCCUAAAGGGAUGCUAGACUCCUGGGGGGUGAGUAGAAUGGAUCCUACCGCUUCAAAGAGCGGGAAGCUGAAUUUCAAUUUUGAAAGCUGCCUUAGAUAGAUAGAUAGAUAGAUAGAUAGAUAGAUAGA